GGAAAGGUCUGCGGAAGAUUAAGUUGUUGGUGGAAUAAAAGUUUACCAAGCUGAAAAUCUUUAGCUAAUUUAAGAGAAUGUAUAGCCACGUUGGAACUGUAAUAAGGUCCAAACUUUGUAAAAGGCAGCAGCGGAAAAUUUUGAGCAAUGAACGAAAGUUUGACUCAGUUAAAACAUGUGUGUGAUAGAAGAUAAAUUUUAUUGUAAAGCACUUUUAUUAUUUAAUAAAAUAUGAUAUAAUAUAGUAAAAAAGUCCUGGCUAAUUACGUGCCAGCAGCAGCGGUAAGACGUAAAGGAUAAACAUUAUUCGGAAUAAUUGGGUGUAAAGUACAAUUAGGU
rnacentral:rRNA from 1 species